rnacentral:tRNA from 12 species
AUUGGCGCAACGGCAGCGCGUCAGAUUCCAGUCCUGAAGGUUACGCGUUCGAAUCGCGU